GCACAGCCCCAGGCAGAGCACGGACUAAGGAACCCCUCCCGUGCUGAAUCAGUACUGUCUGCGUUGAUGACUGGUGUAAGAGAUGUGUCUGGAGGAUUAAAGGGUUGGUUGCAGAACGAACUACUUCCAGUGCAGACAUGUUUCCUGGCCUUGAGUAUCAGUUCCCAAGAUCUGGAGCACAUCUUUGUGUAUUGUAAAAUGUUAUUGUAUCCAAAUGCAAUUUGUCAUUCUUGAAUUGUGUGACAUGAUAAUGACUAUGUAAAUUAUGAGAAAUCAUGUUUGGCACCUGUUUGAUAGGUAUAUUCUUAAUGCAUACAGAAGCUGAGAUAAGCUUAAGCAAUGGCUGUCUUGCUUUAGCCCUUUGCAGGACAUCUUGUAUCUAUUCAGAUGGCUGCAAUGAAACAAGAGGCUGGCUCCAAUGUGCCAUUAGGGUGGAGAGACUUCCCUGUUACUCACUCCUACCAUGUAGCAUUGAUGUAUGAUGCUAAAGGUGUUUCCCUGGAACACAUGGGAGCCAGACUUGAGCAAGGAAGGUCAAAGUGAAAUGAAAGCAACAGUGCUCAUCUCGAGCUUUGUUCACAGUUCUGCAACAGGAGAAGCACUGUGGAGAAAGUGGCGGCUGGCUCUGUCCCAGUUCCUCAGGUCAUCCCACUUGGAAUCCCUCUUCCAGAGAAGGCUAAGCAUAAAGUAGACACAAAUCCUCUUCUAGAAAUGAAAUCAGGUCUGAAUAAGAGCUUUGAAUCCAGUGUCAGGAAACAUUACCAAAUUCAGGUUCCUCUUCAUCCUGCAACAACCACCACCGCAUCUUCAGGACCUGCAUAUGCAUCUUGUUCCAGUGCUAACUAGUGCAGUUAGUUAGUAACUACUGCUUAUGUCCUAGCUGUAGAAGAUCCAUCAUGCCUGAAACCUUCAACAGGGGCAGGUGUGGGCAUAUAUGUAAGAGCACCAAGGUUUUACAGUGAUGCCUGUAACUGUCUCCUCUAAGCUCUUCCCAAGAGAUAAUAACCUGAUCUAACAAGUCAGUGGUGUCAUUUUUUCCCCUGUAUCAUCAGAAAGAUGUCUUGUCUGGGGUAAUGCUGUAGUUUCAAGUGAUGACUGAGAAUAUUCACCACCUCUUUAGAUUAGGUUCAUAAUUAGGAGGAUUUCAACUCCUACAAUUGAGAGCAGCUUUUUAAUUCUACUGAAAACUAACUUAGUAGCUUUCUGGCAUAUUUUUAGUUGUCAGUAAAGUCACUCUUUCCAGUUGCCUCCAUAUUUUCUCAAUAGCCUUUGAUCUGUAAGGAUCAGUACCAGCAGCUGUGGCUGUCAGUUGCUAUGUUUCUAGUGACUUUGCUGCUGUAGACUCUAAGCAGGAAAAUACUGAAAACCUCCUGAUAACCUUAAUGACAUGAUGUGAUGUGGCUUUUUCUUCAGAUGGCACCAUGUCUUGAAUGCAGACACCUCCUGCCAGUGAAUACACCCUCUUGCACUGGAUGUGAGUCAGCAAUAGCUCCACAGCUGCAGCCCCAAACCAACAUCUGCGUAAAGAUACUGGACUUUCUGUUUUGUGUGAGUGCAGUGACUAAGCAAACUGACACUAGUCUAUACAAACAUGUGGAGGUAUUGAUGCUGGAUCUCCUGAGGGAACUAUACUAUACUUUAAAAUGAAUUGUCACCAAGAUCCAUGGGUUUGUGAUGAGCAGGCACUAUGGCCUAACUAAAACCUGAAGCCCACAGCACAGACUUGAAGGAUCUCUUCUAUCUGCAGGGCUGAAUAACCACAGCACUUUGUAAGAUCAAGUCCUCUUCUUAUUAGUGUUGUUCAUAUUUUUCAGAUACUAAGUGAAAUGUAUUCUUUCUCUGUUUAAAAGGGCAAAGUAAUUUGUGAGGCGUGUGGCACAGGAAAUCUUCAGCAUAAACACUGUGUGACUUGUGAAAGCAAGCUGCCUGAAACACAGACGCUAAGGCUUCUUCCAUCAAUUGCACUAGGGUUAAUCAAAUCAAAGCACAACAUUCUUUUCUCUGGAAAACUGAAGUCAUAGCCCUGUGUCCCUAUGUUACAAAAGCAGAGAUUCCCUCCCUCAUGGGAUAUUCAAGCCCAGUACUCCCACAGAUCUUCCAUCACAAAUGUGCAGCUAAAGAGAAGCGUACCUUUGAGUUCCUCCUGUGGAAGUCAGGAUUGUGUGUGCCAUUGUGAAAGCUCAGAAGGCUCUUAGAAAAUGGGGAGUCUUGGCUCCAAGGGAGGUUUGUUUGUGUUCAAAUUUUCAACUGCAGUAGCAAACUUGAGUGUCUACAUCAGGAAGAGAAUUUUUGUUGUUUUCCAUUAUUUUGUGAAAAUAAAAUAUUCUUUUCCAUUA